UGGGGAAUUUUGGACAAUGGGCGAAAGCCUGAUCCAGCAAUGCCGCGUGUGUGAAGAAGGCCUUCGGGUUGUAAAGCACUUUUGUCCGGAAAGAAAUCCUCUGAGUUAAUACCUCGGGGGGAUGACGGUACCGGAAGAAUAAGCACCGGCUAACUACGUGCCAGCAGCCGCGGUAAUACGUAGGGUGCAAGCGUUAAUCGGAAUUACUGGGCGUAAAGCGUGCGCAGGCGGUUUUGUAAGACGGAUGUGAAAUCCCCGGGCUUAACCUGGGAACUGCAUUCGUGACUGCAAGGCUAGAGUAUGGCAGAGGGGGGUAGAAUUCCACGUGUAGCAGUGAAAUGCGUAGAGAUGUGGAGGAAUACCGAUGGCGAAGGCAGCCCCCUGGGCCAAUACUGACGCUCAUGCACGAAAGCGUGGGGAGCAAACAGGAUUAGAUACCCUGGUAGUCCACGCCCUAAACGAUGUCAACUAGUUGUUGGGGAUUCAUUUCCUUAGUAACGUAGCUAACGCGUGAAGUUGACCGCCUGGGGAGUACGGUCGCAAGAUUAAAACUCAAAUGAAUUGA
rnacentral:rRNA from 1 species